GAUGAACGCUGGCGGCGUGCCUAUACAUGCCAGUCGAGCGAACAGAUCAGGAGCUUGCUCCUUUGACGUUAGCGGCGGACGGGUGAGUAACACGUGGGUAACCUACCUAUAAGACUGGAAUAACUCCGGGAAACCGGGGCUAAUGCCGGAUAACAUUUAGCACCGCAUGGUUCUAAAGUGAAAGAUGGUUUUGCUAUCACUUAUAGAUGGACCCGCGCCGUAUUAGCUAGUUGGUAAGGUAACGGCUUACCAAGGCAACGAUACGUAGCCGACCUGAGAGGGUGAUCGGCCACACUGGAACUGAGACACGGCCCAGACUCCUACGGGAGGCAGCAGUAGGGAAUCUUCCGCAAUGGGCGAAAGCCUGACGGAGCAACGCCGCGUGAGUGAUGAAGGUCUUCGGAUCGUAAAACUCUGUUAUUAGGGAAGAACAAAUGUGUAAGUAACUGUGCACGUCUUGACGGUACCUAAUCAGAAAGCCACGGCUAACUACGUG
rnacentral:rRNA from 1 species